rnacentral:rRNA from 1 species
AUGGGGCAAAACCGGGGCUGUGGCAUGGUGGCGAAGGCGGGAUUGGGGAUGGUGGUCGCCCCGACGAAGCUGGUGGUUGAUGUUGAUGUCACAACCCUCCCGCUGAGCUAUACCUCUUCUCUUAAACUUGCACCGACAUGUGGGCCUGCUCACCCGUUCCUUGCACACACAUUGUGUGUUUUUCCCCCACUAGUAAUAAUCGCUAGUGUUGGAUCCUAUUGGACAUGGUCCCAAUCGAUCCAGCCGCUGGUCUUCCUCCAAGUUCCACGCCGUUGCUGCCGGCCGCCGGCCUCGUUCGUGCCGCUGCUACCUUCUGCGGCACCACCGGCCGCCGGUCCCGUCUGCGCCGCUGCUGCCGGCCGCCGGCCACCGGCCCCGUCUGCACCGCUGCUGCCGGCCGCCGGCCUCGUCCGUGUCGCUGCUACCUUCUGCGGCACCACCGGCCGCCAGUCCCGUCUGCGCCGCUGCUGCCGGCCGCCGGCCCCGUCCGCACCGCUGCUGUCUUACGCGGUUGUCCGCGCUCGCUGUUGCCGUUUCACGUCCGGGUGUCUACUGCUUCAGAUCGUGGUUAUUCUCCUUUGGCUGGCUUUUCGUCUAAUUGAUCUGCUGGAUAGAAAAGAAGCACCAUGUCUUCCGCAUCAUCUGGCUAUGUCGCCAUCCCGCGCUGUCAGUGAGGUCCUCUGUCCUCCACGCCCAGUGCCUCCUGUGGCUCCUAUCCCACCACCGAUGCCACCGACUCCUGCCGCAGAUGCUUCUAAUGCUGAUAGGGCUGCAACCACGGUUGCUGCUGAUGAUGCGGCUGCUGCUUAUGACCAGCAGGUCUUGGAUUAUUCGGAUGCUCUUUCAGUUUACCGUGAUGCUCUGGCUGCUUACACUCAGUGGUGCGAUGAUGAUGCUCAUGCUGCGGCUGUCCUCACUGCCAGUGUUCUACCUCAGUUUGCUUCUGAGUUUAUGGGCCUCAGUACUGUCUUUGAGAUGUGGUCUCAUCUUCGCCAGCGCUAUCAGCCCUCCGGUGAUGCUCUCUACUUGUCAGUGGUCCGUCAGGAGCAUGCUCUCCAGCAGGGAGACUCUACUAUUGAUGAGUUCUACACUCAGAGUUCUGCUAUCUGGCGCCAGCUUGACUCCCUUCGCACUACUGUUUGUGGCACUUGCCCGUGUUGCCAGACUGUGAGAUCAGACUUGGAGUUUCAAUGUGUCUAUGAGUUCUUGUCACGGCUUCGUGGGGGUUUGAGCCUCGAUGUGCUCAGUUGUUUGCUCGUGGUCGUGUUCCUAUUUCUGAGGUGCUUUUUGAGCUUCGUGCUGAGGAGACUCGCCUACGUGGUGCUGGUUUGCUUCAGGUUCCCUCUGUGCUUGCUGUUCGAGCUGCUACUCCACCAGUGUCUUCUCGCUUCAGUGCUCCGCCGCUACUGCCCACUCCUUCGGGUAGUGUGGCCCGCUCUCGUGAAGGCCGAUCUCGUCCUCGUACUCAUUGUGACUACUGCAAUAGGGAUGGUCACCCUGAGUCUGACUGCUUCAAGAAGAAGCGUGAUAUGCGUAAUAGGGAGCGCAAUUCUUCUUCUGGGACUCAUGCUUCUUCCUCGGCGCCGUCUACUAAGGUGUUGUUGGUAUUGUGGUGACAACACCAUGGAGUUUUUGUCCUUUGGCCUUGACCGCGUCUCAUCGACAUCUGGUCCAACAUCUUUGGGAAGCCUAAAGGAAGUAUUGGAGUUAGUAAGUGUUGCUUUGCACCAUGGCAACGCGCCGGUGGUCUAUGGAGGAUGGAUGGAGCAUUGCAAGUUAUCUAAAUCAAAUGAGUCACUAGGAUUGGUAGCUCUUGCAACAACUGUACUCAUGAGUAAAACUAGACAUGUGGUUGGUGAGUGGGUGGAUAGAGAAAUGACACUAACUUGGUCUACCAUGACUAUGUUUGAUGCUAGGCAUGGGAUGCGCCAGCAAUAUGAGUUCAAUUUGAGAGUGUGCAGAGGAUAUGAUACGAUGAGGAAACAGAAGCACCUGGAAACGGAUGCAGGUGGAUGUAGGUGGCUUGAUCCACAGGCCGCAGCAGCCAGAGUUAUCACGAACAAGAAGAUGGUGCCAUGA